ensembl:lncRNA
CUUUGCAUCUUCUCUAGAAUCCGUCACAGCCAUCAUGGUUUUCACUAAGCUGUCAAGGGCCCUUCUCCUUGUCUCUCUGCUUUCUCUUUGUACUCAAAGUCUGGAUGAUGAGUUCGACGUGGAAGUUCUUGCAGAAAUUAUAAAACAUUUUCACGAUAAAUUUCAACAAACACAGUAUGCAGCAGCCAUCAAUGUCCCAAAGAAUAAUGUCUUUUCAUUCCUGGAAGAAGCAAGCAAUGUGAGGGAACAUCUCGAAACUAAUCUGAUCUAUGAAGGCACUGAGCUGAUUGUUGCAAAAUUUUCUAAAGACAGACAUUCAGAAGAUCUACUGAUGAAUCCUCCAAAACAGUCUCUCUUAACAAAAUUGUUAAAUAAAAAAGGGUUGGAUGGAUGUGUGGUUUUCUACACCUUACUCUCUCCCUGUAUAGACAAGUGUCUCAGUAAUAAUAAUAACAACAUUUUACCAGGUCUUGAUGAAUUAAAAGUGCACACAGGAAUUAAAGCCUUUGCUUUCACACAUAUUUAUAGGCCUGACCAAGACAAAAAUGAUCUGCAUGCAGAACUGGGAAAGGUUGCUGAACGUGUGCCUCUCUACCGCUGUUUUUAUAAAUGUAUCCUUUGUGGAAAACCAGGAUCAACCACACCAAUAAAAGAGGUGUGUACAUGGGAAUCUAAAUUAUUUUUAGAAUAUAUUAACAAACUUUAUAACUAUACUCAAAGUAAUGCUUCAGGUUAAUUGAUGUUCUGAUGAGAGGAUAUAUGUCUGUUAAUGCUCAAAUGUAGCCUUUCUGUCAUAUAUGCUGCCUAAUGUUAUUUCUUUUUUCUUCUUACGUAUUCUUUGUAAACUCUUGGAGGGGAGAGCACAUGUUUAUUUUUUAUUUCUUUCCCCCAAAGAAAUUGCUUUUUAGUUAGUCAUUCUAAUAACAAAGAUUGUCAUCAGAUUUAACAGAAACCGGAGAUUUGUGAAUGUAGCUGGUUUUGAUAUAGGACCAAAUUCCAGUAAAUUAAAGCAUUUGUAUUCAAAAACAUUUUUCAUUACUAAGCCAGUUUAUUCCUGUGUGAACCACAAUAUUUUGUGUGGAUAUAUUCUUUAUUUGUUAAUGCUCAGGGUAAUAUUCUUGAUGAUUUUACAAAUGGUUACAUGCUGGAGAAUUACAUUUCUUUUUGACAUAUAAAUAAAGUCCUGGAAAUGUGAAGACA